rnacentral:misc_RNA from 1 species
GAUGAAGAACGUAGCGAAAUGCGAUAAGUAAUGUGAAUUGCAGAAUUCAGUGAAUCAUCGAAUCUUUGAACGCACCUUGCGCCCUUUGGCUAUUCCGAAGGGCAUGCCUGUUUGAGUAUCAUGAAAACCUCAACUCUCAUGGCUUGCCAUGAUGAGCUUGGACUCUGGGGGUCUUGCUUGCUUUACGGUCAGCUCCUCUCAAAUAAAUCAGCUUGCCGGUGUUUGGUGGGAUCACAGGUGUGAUAACUAUCUACGCUUGUGGUUUUCCGCCAGGUAACCUUCAGCAAUGGAGGUUCGCUGGAGCUCAUAAAUGUCUCUCCUCAGCGAGGACAGAUUUUGACCGUUUGAUCUCAAAUCAGGUAGGACUACCCGCUGAACUUAAGCAUAUCAAUAAGCGGAGGA